rnacentral:lncRNA from 1 species
AACUUAACACUAUUAAAAAAAGGAUUUUAAAAAAAUUUUAGAGGGGUGCCAAUAGUCUAACUCUAAAUCCAGAAUGUGUCAAGUUGCUGUUGCUGCGGGACAAUGAUCCAAUCAUAAAAUUGCGAAAUCGGUGGGCAUUUAAUACCACCGACUCAAGCACUGCGAGAAUUUCAGACACUCGUCUUUUAUUAUUAGAAAAAUGUUUUAGCAACAAGACAUUAAUCAUAUUUUGGUACAUAAUUAUUUGCCCAAUACAUACGCAAAUUCAUGUGAAUAAUUUUUAGACCGUACCAUCUUGACAAUUAAAUAUCAUAUGAUUGCGUCUAAAGUUAAUUACCUAAUUAGUUACAAAAAAAAUCGGUCUUUCUUUCCAAUUUUCUAGCUAACAAAAGCUCAAACACCAAUAGUACAAGAAUAAAAUAGUAAAUCUAUAGCCGAGAAAUUUAAUUAUUUUAUGGAAAACUCGAAUGAUGAUUAUCAACAAUAGUGCUCAUUGGCACGCAACAUUACUCAACGAGUCAUUGUAGUUGACGAUAGUACUUUUACAUUUCAAAAUUAAUCAUAUUUAAUUAAAUAAUUUUCAAAAUAUAAUAGUU